UUCGGAUCGAAGUCUGCAACCCGACUUCGUGAAGCUGGAUUCGCUAGUAAUCGCGCAUCAGCCACGGCGCGGUGAAUACGUUCCCGGGCCUUGUACACACCGCCCGUCAAGCCAGGGGAGCCGGGGGUACCUGAAGUACGUAACCGCAAGGAGCGUCCUAGGGUAAAACUGGUGACUGGGGCUAAGUCGUAACAAGGUAAC
rnacentral:rRNA from 1 species